GUACUCGCUUCGCCAGUACAUAUACUAAAAUUGGAACGACACCGAGAAAAUUAGCAUGGCCCCUGCAUAAGGAUAUGUACAUUUUCAUAUUUAAUUGUUUCAU
rnacentral:misc_RNA from 1 species